rnacentral:rRNA from 1 species
CAACUUUUAACAACGGAUCUCUUGGCUCUCGCAUCGAUGAAGAACGCAGCGAAAUGCGAUAAGUAAUGUGAAUUGCAGAAUUCAGUGAAUCAUCGAAUCUUUGAACGCACCUUGCGCCCCUUGGUAUUCCGAGGGGCAUGCCUGUUUGAGUGUC